rnacentral:rRNA from 1 species
UGGGGUGAAGUCGUAACAAGGUAGCGCUAGGGGAACCUGGCGCUGGAUCACCCUUUAA